UUUUUACUCCCUCCGUCCGAAAAUACUUGUCAUCAAAAUGGAUAAAAAUAGAUGUAUCUAAAACUAAAAUACGUCUAGAUACAUUUCCUUUUAUCCAUUUUGAUGACAAGUAUUUCCGGACGGAGGGAGUAUUUG
rnacentral:pre_miRNA from 1 species